rnacentral:tRNA from 1 species
GCCCCCUUAGCUGAGCGGAUUUAGCACGGGCCUUCUAAGCCCGGGACCCAGGUUCGAGUCCUGGAGGGGGUG